GACGCUGGCGGCGCGCUUAAUACAUGCAAGUCGAACGAGAAGCCAGAGCUUGCUCUGGUGGAAAGUGGCGAACGGGUGAGUAACACGUGAGAAACCUGCCCCAAAGAUUGGGAUAAGCCUUGGAAACGAGGUCUAAUACCAAAUACCUUCCUUUAACACAUGUUAAAAAGAAGAAAUGCUCCGGCGCUUUGGGAUGGUCUCGCGAUCUAUCAGCUUGUUGGUGAGGUAACGGCUCACCAAGGCAUCGACGGAUAGCUGGUCUGAGAGGAUGUCCAGCCACAUUGGAACUGAGACACGGUCCAAACUCCUACGGGAGGCAGCAGUAGGGAAUCUUGCACAAUGAGGGAAACCUUGAUGCAGCGACGCCGCGUGCGGGACGAAGGCCCUAGGGUUGUAAACCGCUUUCAGUAGGGACGAAAGUGACGGUACCUACAGAAGAAGCCCCGGCCAACUAUGUG
rnacentral:rRNA from 1 species